rnacentral:rRNA from 1 species
AGAGGGUGCGAGCGUUAAUCGGAAUUACUGGGCGUAAAGGGCGCGUAGGUUGUCUGAUAAGUUGGGUGUAAAAUUCCCGGGCUUAACCUGGGCAGGUCAUCCAAGACUGUCAGACUAGAGAGCAGUAGAGGGAAGUGGAAUUUCCGGUGUAGCGGUGAAAUGCGUAGAUAUCGGAAGGAACACCAGAGGCGAAGGCGACUUUCUGGACUGCCACUGACACUGAGGCGCGAAAGCGUGGGGAGCGAACAGGGAUUAGAUACCCUGGUAGUCCACGCUGUAAACGAUGAAAACUAGCCGUUGUGAUUUAUUAAUGACAGUGGCGCAGCUAACGCAUUAAGUUUUCCGCCUGGGGAGUACGGCCGCAAGGCUA